UACGUAGGUGACAAGCGUUGUCCGGAUUUACUGGGCGUAAAGAGCGCGCAGGCGGUCAUUCAAGUCGAGUGUGAAAGCCCCCGGCUCAACUGGGGAGGGUCAUUCGAUACUGAUCGACUCGAAGGCAGGAGAGGGUAGUGGAAUUCCCGGUGUAGUGGUGAAAUGCGUAGAUAUCGGGAGGAACACCAGUGGCGAAGGCGACUACCUGGCCUGUUCUUGACGCUGAGGCGCGAAAGCUAGGGGAGCAAACGGG
rnacentral:rRNA from 1 species